GGCGCUCCGUGCAUCUCGGGGCCGGGCGCCACCGCCGAGGCUCUCGGUGACGUUUUUCCUCGGCGCGUCCCUUCCUGCGUCUCGAUCUCGGCGACGCCGUCGGGAAGUCGAGGCGGCUCCUUUCAGGGAGGGCUCGGAUCCGCCGCCUCCGGUCCGCCUCGCGUGUGCCCGGCACUAGUCGGAUCCGGCAGCCCUUUGCCCUUCCUGGGUUCCAGCCUCGGAGGAGACAUUUUGGUUUUUUUUACUCCAUCUCUGAGAGGACAGCUGGGGACCUGGCGUUCUCGCACCCUGCAGAUGCAUCUGGUCCUCAUGUCAGCGGCACCUCGGCAGAAUAAAGCAGAACCCAAGAAAUUCAGUUCCCUGUGUAUACCUGGUUAUAUUCCCCUCUGUGUGAAAGGCUGACAGGAGUCAAGAGAUGACUGACUUCAAUUAUUUGCACACACCCAGCCAUCUAGUAUCCAAGGUACUAAAAGUUUUUUAACUAAGUACUCUUUUUAGACUACUAUUUUGAGGAAUUUUCACUUCCUCCUCUUCUCCUGGAAAUGGCAGUGAGUGACGUGGUGUAUAAAAUGAGCACAGAAAGCAGGAAGAAUUCAUAAGAAAACAACAUUUUAGCCAGGUGUGGUGAUGCACACCUGUAACAUCAGCACUAGGGAGGCUGAGGCAGGAUCACCGGCUAGUAGUGAGUUCAAGGCCAGCCUGGACUACACAUUGAAACCCUGUUUCAAAAAACAAAAACAAAACAAGAAAGAAGAAAGAAAGGUCCAGGGAUUUAGCUUAGUGGCACUGUGCCUGCCUCAGAAGUGCUAGGUCCAGAGUUCGAUCCCUAGUGCCACCCCCCCCCCCCCCCA
rnacentral:lncRNA from 1 species